UUAACCGGCGUGCAUCUCCAUUCGCUGCCAUUCUUUCAACGGCCAUUAGGAAGAACGGCAGUCACCGGACUUCCUUCUAGGAGAUGGGACCGUGCUGGCGCGUAAUGCUGCUUCUGGCUGCCCUGGUACCAAUAGUCACGGGCUUCUUCGAGUUCUUCUUCAAACGCAUCAACUUUUGCCACCACCGAGAAAUGAAGUGCGACAAGGACGCUUCCUGCUGCAGUGGCCGUUGCCGUCCCAGUACUUACCCGCCUUACACCAUGCGCUGUUUCUGAGGAGCGGUUCGUAGAAUGCUCUCAUAAAGAAGUUCAGUGAAAGAGCUCCAGUAAGGCGUUCUUUUCUGCUUCGAUGAUUUCGAAAUAAAUGUUUUUUCUCAGA